rnacentral:rRNA from 1 species
AAGCAAAAUUUUUGAAACUGUUAGACGAAUAGCUUGGCUUAAAUUACGACGAAGGACGUGGCAAGCUGCGAUAAGCUUAGGCGAGCUGCAUGCGAGCAUUGAACCUAAGAUUUCCGAAUGUGAAACACUUUUAUUCCGAGAGGAAGGAAAACGCCGAGAAUUGAAACAUCUUAGUACCGGCAGGAAAAGAAAAUAAAUUAAUGAUUCCCCUAUUAGCAGCGAGCGAAAAGGGAAAAGGGCAAGCUGAAUCUUUGCUCGAAAGAGUGUAAGAGAUGUGGUGCACGUAAAUUUCUAAGUGAAUGAUUUGAAUUUUCUGGAAAGAAAGACCUUAGAAGGUGAUAGUCCUGUAAAAUAGUUCAUAUGAAAUUGUGUAUAUGAGUAGGGCCCUCUGGAUUGGGGGUCUGAAUACAGCAGAAUUAACUGCUAACCCUAAAUAUUGAUUUAAGUCAGAUAGCGCAAGAGUACCGCGAUGGAAAGCUGAAAAGUACUCUCACAAGAGGGUUAAAAGACUUGAAAUCUAACAGUUACAAGAUUGCUACUGCCCUACGGGGUUGUAGCGUACGUUUUGAAGAACGGGCCGGGGAGUUUAUCUUUGUGGCAAGGUUAAUAAAUGGAGCCGUAGCGAAAGCAAGUCUGAAAUGGGCGUUAGUCACUGAGUUAAGACCUGAUGCCAGAUGAUCUAUACCUGAACAGGAUGAAGUUUCUUGAAAAAGAAAUGGAAGUCCGAACUAGUGCUAUGUACAUGUGCUUGGAUGAUUUGGGUAUAGGGGUGAAAAGCCAUUCUAAUCUGGCGAUGGCUGGUUCCUAUUGAAAUAUGCCUGGGUAUAGUUUUGUAUUGCUUGUUAAUGAGGUAAAGUACGGAUAGGGUUUGCAGAGUCUUCUGACUACGGAACUCUUUCCAACUCAGAACUUAUUAACUGCAGAAUACAAGAAGCAGCUUCGGUGCGUAAGGUACCGUGGCGAGACCCGAAUAAGGGAGACUGAAGUUAAGGUCCCAAAAUAUUUGCUAAGUGUAUCAAAGAGAGUUUUUAUUCUAAGACAGUGGGGAUGUAGGUCCAGAAGCCGCCACCAUUUAAAGAAAGCGUAACAGCUCACCUAUCGAGAAUAGAAGCCUCGAAAAUGGACCGGGCUAAAGCAAAUUACCGAUACUUCAGAGGUAUCUAGUUAGAUACUCUGGUAAAUAGGCGUAUUUCUUGCGUCGAAGCUUCUCUGUAAAGAGGAGUGGAGCGAGAAGUAAUGCGGAUCCCGGUGGAAGUAGGAUCUGAUCUUCCUGAGAACCGGAAGAUGUCGAAAGGGCAAGGUUUCCUUGGCACUAACAAUUAUCCAAGGGUUAGUCGGUACCUAAGUUGUAUCUUAACUGAGUACGACGAUGGGCAACAGGUUAAUAUUCCUGUACUGACUAUUUUUGCUAAGAUUUCAAAUCACUUUCGGAUAGAUGGAAUACCGAGAGGUAUAAUGAAAGAGAAAUAAAUGGAUCGUAAUGAUAAGAAGUUUAUGAAUCUUCACUAAUUCGUCAACUCCAAGAGUCAGUGAAAAGUUUGAAGUAUAGAAAAUAGUUAGCCGUACCGAGAUCUAGCACUGGUGCCCUAGCUGAGAAGGCUAAGACAUGAAAGGUUAAAUUAGUUAAGGGAAUUCGGCAUAUUAGUCCCGUAUCUUCGGUAUAAGGGAUGUCUAUUUUCUUGUAUGAAUUUUUAUAUGGGAAAGUAGAUCACAGUAACAAGGAUGGCCCGACUGUUUACCAAAAACGUAGCCAAGUGCAAUUCCGAAAGGAGAUAUAUACUUGGUGAAGUCUGCCCAGUGGUGGUGUCUAAAACUCUAUUCCAAUGGAGCUAAAGCCCAUCAAACGGCGGGCGUAACUAUGACGCUCUUAAGGUAGCGUAAUGCCUUGUCGUCUGAAUGGCGACGUGCAUGAAUGGCGUAACGAGGUUGUCACUGUCCCUAACUAAAACCUUCCGAACUCAUUUACCGGUGAAAAGGCCGGUAUCGCCUAGUGGGAAGCGAAGACCUUAUAAACCUUUACUGCAGCCUGUUGUUGUGUUUUUAUUGUAAGUGCAUAGAGUAAGUAGGAGCAUCGAUGUCGCGAUUUUGGUUGCGACGGAGCAAAAGUGUAACACUACUCAUUCAUGAUGAAAAUGCUCACUUUUCUAGGACAGCAAUAGGUGGGCAGUUUGGCUGGGGCGGCGCCCGGUUGAAAAGAUAUCAAUCGGGCCUAAAGACAGGCUCAUCCAGGUCGGAAAUCUGGAGUAGAGUGUAAGGGCAAAAGCUUGUCUGACUGUUUUUCGAAAAGCAAGAAAAGCAGGGAUGAAAGUCGGGCCUAACGAACCACCAUAGCUUUUUAAUGGGGCUUGGUGAUGACAGAAAAGGUACUUUAAGGAUAACAGGCUUGUCGCUCCCGAUAGUCCACAUUGACGGGGCGGUUUGGUACAUCGCUGUCGGCUCUUCCUAUCCUGGCUGUGCACAAGCAGCCAAGGGUGUCGGAGUUCACGCAUUAAAAGGGAUCGUUAGCUGGGUUAAGAACGUCGUGAGACAGUUUGUAUGAUAUCUACUAGGUGUGUUAUUGUCUGAGUGGAACGACUCUCUAGUACGAGAGGAACGUGAGUCGGAAGCCUCUGGUGUAUCGGUUGUUAUGAGCAGGCCGAGCAGCUACGCUUUAUAUCGAUAAGAGCUGAAAGCAUCUAAGCUCGAAGCGAUCCGCAAAACGAGACAAUUAAGGCCGCAACAAAAGAUUGCGUUGAUAGAGAUGGGAUGUACGCACGAAGGCAACGACGUGUUCAGUCCGCAUCUACUAAUAGCCUCAUUAAUAUAUUCU